GCUGGGCAUGGUGGCUCAUGCCUGUAAUCUCAGGACUUUGGGAGGCUGAGGUGGGAGGAUUGCUUGAGGCCAGGAGUUCAAGACCAACCUGGCCAAUAUAGCAAGACCCCAUCUCUA
ensembl:misc_RNA Metazoa_SRP Metazoan signal recognition particle RNA